ACGUGAUCUGAGUUCAGACCGGAGCAAUCCAGGUCAGUUUCUAUCUAUAAAGAGAUUUUUCUAGUACGAAAGGACCGAAAAAGCAUGGCCAAUACUUAUGUAUGCCAUAACCAAUACUCUAUGAUUUAACUUAAUAGACUAUUGAACUACUAUGAAUCUCAAGAUUAUGAG
rnacentral:rRNA from 1 species